AAGCUGUAUACAAGGAGAAAAUCUCAGCAUUGCCCUUGAUAAAGGAUGGAAGAAGUCAGACCCUAUGUUGUCCAAAUAGACUUUAAGACACAUAAAUAGUUAAGACAUUGUCACCUCUUCUACAGCAUCUAAAUACUGUUAUUU
rnacentral:ncRNA from 1 species